GAUGAACGCUGGCGGCGUGCCUAAUACAUGCAAGUCGAGCGAACGGACGAGAAGCUUGCUUCUCUGAUGUUAGCGGCGGACGGGUGAGUAACACGUGGAUAACCUACCUAUAAGACUGGGAUAACUUCGGGAAACCGGAGCUAAUACCGGAUGAUAUUUUGAACCGCAUGGUUCAAAAGUGAAAGACGGUCUUGCUGUCACUUAUAGAUGGAUCCGCGCUGCAUUAGCUAGUUGGUAAGGUAAUGGCUUACCAAGGCAACGAUGCAUAGCCGACCUGAGAGAGGGAUCGGGAAGACUGGGAAGGCGGCAGAGGACGGACAGCGAGUGGAGGCAGCAGUAGGGAAUAUUGCGAAAUGGGCGGAAGACGGAAGGAGAAGAGAGAAGUGAAUGAUGAAGGUGUUCGGAUCGUAAAAAUCUGUUCCUCGGGAAAAACAUAUGGGCACGUACCUGUGCACAUCUGGACGGUACGUAAGAAGAAAGGCACGGCUAAGUAGGUG
rnacentral:rRNA from 1 species